UGUGACUAUAUUUACAAUCAA
ensembl:piRNA 21ur-5066 ncRNA